rnacentral:rRNA from 1 species
AUUGAACGCUGGCGGCAGGCCUAACACAUGCAAGUCGAACGGUAGCACAGAGAGCUUGCUCUCGGGUGACGAGUGGCGGACGGGUGAGUAACGUCUGGGAAACUGCCCGAUGGAGGGGGAUAACUACUGGAAACGGUAGCUAAUACCGCAUAACGUCGCAAGACCAAAGUGGGGGGCCUUCGGGCCUCACACCAUCGGAUGUGCCCAGAUGGGAUUAGCUAGUAGGUGGGGUAAUGGCUCACCUAGGCGACGAUCCCUAGCUGGUCUGAGAGGAUGACCAGCCACACUGGAACUGGGACACGGUCCAGACUCCGACGGGAGGCAGCAGUGGGGAAUAUUGCACAAUGGGCGCAAGCCUGAUGCAGCCAUGCCGCGUGUAUGAAGAAGGCCUUCGGGUUGUAAAGUACUUUCAGCGGGGAGGAAGGCGGUGAAGUUAAUAACCUUGCCGAUUGACGUUACCCGCAGAAGAAGCACCGGCUAACUCCGUGCCAGCCGCCGCCGUAA